UACGGGGGGGGCAAGCGUUGUUCGGAAUUACUGGGCGUAAAGGGCUCGUAGGCGGCCAACUAAGUCAGACGUGAAAUCCCUCGGCUUAACCGGGGAACUGCAUCUGAUACUGGAUGGCUUGAGUUCGGGAGAGGGAUGCGGAAUUCCAGGUGUAGCGGUGAAAUGCGUAGAUAUCUGGAGGAACACCGGUGGCGAAGGCGGCAUCCUGGGCCGGUAUUGACGCUGAGGCGCGAAAGCGUGGGGAGCAAACAGGG
rnacentral:rRNA from 1 species